GGGUGGAGAUGGGUGGUUUAGGGGAUGAGAUUGGUAGGUUUAAAGGUAGAGAUGGGUAGGUUUAGGAGUGGAGAUUGGUUGGUUUAGGGGUGGAGAUGGUUGGUUUAGGGGAUGAGAUUGGUAGGUUUAAAGGUAGAGAUGGGUAGGUUUAGGAGUGGAGAUUGGUAGGUUUAGGAGUGGAGAUGGGUGGUUUAGGGGAUGAGAUUGGUAGGUUUAAAGGUAGAGAUGGGUAGGUUUAGGAGUGGAGAUUGGUUGGUUUAGGGGUGGAGAUGGGUGGUUUAGGGGAUGAGAUUGGUAGGUUUAAAAGUAGAGAUGGGUAUAUUUAGGAGUGGAGAUUGGUAGGUUUAGGGGGGGAUGGGUGGUUUAGGGGAUGAGAUUGGUAGGUUUAGGA